rnacentral:rRNA from 1 species
GAUGAACGCUGGCGGCGUGCUUAACACAUGCAAGUCGAACGAUGAAGCCCAGCUUGCUGGGUGGAUUAGUGGCGAACGAGUGAGUAACACGUGAGUAACCUGCCCUUAACUCUGGGAUAAGCCUGGGAAACUGGGUCUAAUACCGGAUAGGAGCGUCCACCGCAUGGUGGGUGUUGGAAAGAUUUAUCGGUUUUGGAUGGACUCGCGGCCUAUCAGCUUGUUGGUGAGGUAAUGGCUCACCAAGGCGACGACGGGUAGCCGGCCUGAGAGGGUGACCGGCCACACUGGGACUGAGACACGGCCCAGCCUCCUACGGGAGGCAGCAGUGGGGAAUAUUGCACAAUGGGCGCAAGCCUGAUGCAGCGACGCCGCGUGAGGGAUGACGGCCUUCGGGUUGUAAACCUCUUUCAGUAGGGAAGAAGCGAAAGUGACGGUACCUGCAGAAGAAGCACCGGCUAACUACGUG